GACGAACGCUGGCGGCGUGCUUAACACAUGCAAGUCGAACGGAAAGGCCCUGCUCUUGUGGGGUGCUGGAGUGGCGAACGGGGGAGUAACACGUGAGUAACCUGCCCUUGACUUUGGGAGAACUUCAGGAAACUGGGGCUAAUAUAGGACAGGAGCUCCUGAAGCAUGGUGGGGGUGGGAGAGUUUCGGCGGUUGGGGAUGGACUCGCGGUUUAUCAGCGUGUUGGUGGGGUAGUGGCUUACCAAGGCAUUGACGGGUAGCCGGACUGGGAGGGUGACAGGCCACAUACUGCCUGAGGUAGGGCCAAUAGUCCUACGGCGGGCAGCGGCGGGAAACAGUGCGCAAUGGGCGGCAGCAUGAUACAGGGUCUCCGCGUCCGAAAUGACGGUCUUCGGGUUAGAACCCGCUUUCGACUGUAACGCAGCUCGAGUGACGGUAACGAGCCAAGGAGCACCGGCUAACUACGUG
rnacentral:rRNA from 1 species